rnacentral:lncRNA from 1 species
UGGAACAACGAAGCCAACAGUCUCUCCUUCCAGCUUCCGCAUCAGUCAGCGAAGUCACCGUGGGAGUCCUCGACACGGGUGUCUGGCCCGAACUCGAUAGCUUCAACGAUAAAGAUCUCGGUCCGAUCCCAGCCACAUGGAAAGGAACCUGCGAGGUUGGUAAAGGUUUCGAUUCCACCAAAUGUAAUAAGAAACUUAUCGGAGCGAGAUACUUCUCGAAGGGGUACGAAGCAGCGUACGGACCUGUUGACGAAACAAUUGAGUCCAAAUCACCGAGAGACGACGAUGGUCACGGAAGCCACACUUCGACUACCGCGGCUGGCUCUGUUGUUUCGGGAGCCAGCCUGUUCGGUUUCGCAGCGGGGACAGCUCGCGGGAUGGCUCCG